rnacentral:lncRNA from 1 species
AGGGAUUUGGGGAGGGAGUACCUUCUCUCGGCUGGAGAUGAGCUCGAGAUGCGUCGGCGCCAGGAGGUUGAGGACGAGAACGAGGAAGACGAUUUCGGUUCUGAGGAUGGAGGUUUCGAUAGCGAUUGUGCUGUUGGUUGGGAGGAUUUCGACGACGACGAUGAGGAUGGCGACGACGACGACGAAGACGAUGGCGAUUCUGAUGCGCCUCGGGAGAGGAGAAAAUGAGAUUCGAAAUAUAUUUCUCUCUGUUUCUCGUUUCGUCAGCGUCGUGUUCUGUUUACCAACUCAGUGCUGGCCAACUU